rnacentral:rRNA from 1 species
AGCUACACAUGCAGUCGAGCGGUAGCACAGAGAGCUUGCUCUCGGGUGACGAGCGGCGGACGGGUGAGUAAUGUCUGGGAAACUGCCUGAUGGAGGGGGAUAACUACUGGAAACGGUAGCUAAUACCGCAUAACGUCGCAAGACCAAAGUGGGGGACCUUCGGGCCUCAUGCCAUCAGAUGUGCCCAGAUGGGAUUAGCUAGUAGGUGGGGUAACGGCUCACCUAGGCGACGAUCCCUAGCUGGUCUGAGAGGAUGACCAGCCACACUGGAACUGAGACACGGUCCAGACUCCUACGGGAGGCAGCAGUGGGGAAUAUUGCACAAUGGGCGCAAGCCUGAUGCAGCCAUGCCGCGUGUGUGAAGAAGGCCUUCGGGUUGUAAAGCACUUUCAGCGGGGAGGAAGGCGUUAAGGUUAAUAACCUUGUCGAUUGACGUUACCCGCAGAAGAAGCACCGGCUAACUCCGUGCCAGCAGCCGCGGUAAUACGGAGGGUGCAAGCGUUAAUCGGAAUUACUGGGCGUAAAGCGCACGCAGGCGGUCUGUCAAGUCGGAUGUGAAAUCCCCGGGCUCAACCUGGGAACUGCAUUCGAAACUGGCAGGCUAGAGUCUUGUAGAGGGGGGUAGAAUUCCAGGUGUAGCGGUGAAAUGCGUAGAGAUCUGGAGGAAUACCGGUGGCGAAGGCGGCCCCCUGGACAAAGACUGACGCUCAGGUGCGAAAGCGUGGGGAGCAAACAGGAUUAGAUACCCUGGUAGUCCACGCCGUAAACGAUGUCGAUUUGGAGGUUGUGCCCUUGAGGCGUGGCUUCCGGAGCUAACGCGUUAAAUCGACCGCCUGGGGAGUACGGCCGCAAGGUUAAAACUCAAAUGAAUUGACGGGGGCCCGCACAAGCGGUGGAGCAUGUGGUUUAAUUCGAUGCAACGCGAAGAACCUUACCUGGUCUUGACAUCCACAGAACUUUCCAGAGAUGGAUUGGUGCCUUCGGGAACUGUGAGACAGGUGCUGCAUGGCUGUCGUCAGCUCGUGUUGUGAAAUGUUGGGUUAAGUCCCGCAACGAGCGCAACCCUUAUCCUUUGUUGCCAGCGGUCCGGCCGGGAACUCAAAGGAGACUGCCAGUGAUAAACUGGAGGAAGGUGGGGAUGACGUCAAGUCAUCAUGGCCCUUACGACCAGGGCUACACACGUGCUACAAUGGCAUAUACAAAGAGAAGCGACCUCGCGAGAGCAAGCGGACCUCAUAAAGUAUGUCGUAGUCCGGAUUGGAGUCUGCAACUCGACUCCAUGAAGUCGGAAUCGCUAGUAAUCGUAGAUCAGAAUGCUACGGUGAAUACGUUCCCGGGCCUUGUACACACCGCCCGUCACACCAUGGGAGUGGGUUGCAAAAGAAGUAGGUAGCUUAACCUUCGGGAGGGCGCUACCACUUU